CCUACGGGUGGCAGCAGUGGGGGAUAUUGCACAAUGGGGGGAACCCUGAUGCAGCGACGCCGCGUGGGUGAAGAAGCGCCUUGGCGCGUAAAGCCCCGUCAGCAGGGAAGAAAAUGACGGUACCUGAAGAAGAAGCCUCGGGAAACUACGUGCCAGCAGCCGCGGUAAUACGUAGGGGGCUAGCGUGAUCGGGAAUUACCGGCCGUAAAGGGUGCGUAGGUGGUUUCUUAAGUCAGAGGUGAAAGGCUACGGCUCAACCGUAGUAAGCCUUUGAAACUGGGGAACUUGAGUGCAGGAGAGGGGAGUGGAAUUCCUGGUGUAGCGGUGAAAUGCGUAGAUAUUAAGAGGAACACCAGUUGCGAAGGCGGCUCUCUGGACUGUAACUGACACUGAGGCACGAAGGCGUGGGGAGCAAACAGGAUUAGAUACCCCAGUAGUC
rnacentral:rRNA from 1 species